rnacentral:rRNA from 1 species
AGUGAACGCUGGCGGCGUGCUUAAUACAUGCAAGUCGAACGAGAACGGAUUAUAGCUUGCUAUAAUUGUCAGCUAAGUGGCGCACGGGUGAGUAAUGUAUAGGUAAUAUGCCUCUUACUAAGGGAUAACAAAUGGAAACGUUUGCUAAUACCUUAUACUCCUUAUUAACAGAAGUUAGUAAGGGAAAGAUUUAUUGGUAAGAGAUUAGCCUGUAUUGUAUCAGUUAGUUGGUGGGGUAAUGGCCUACCAAGACUAUGACACAUAACUGGUUUGAGAGGAUGAUCAGUCACACUGGAACUGAGACACGGUCCAGACUCCUACGGGAGGCAGCAGUGGGGAAUAUUGCACAAUGGACGAAAGUCUGAUGCAGCAACGCCGCGUGGAGGAUGACACAUUUCGGUGCGUAAACUCCUUUUAUAUGAGAAGAUAAUGACGGUAUUAUAUGAAUAAGCACCGGCUAACUCCGUGCCAGCAGCCGCCGUAA